UGUUUAGACAUGUGCUGUCUGCUGUGGGUAGCAACUUACAUGUCCAGUACACAAAGCUUUCAUCCAUUUUAACGAUAUCCAGGAAAUUGUUCGCUGAUGUAAGACUAAAAAUUUAUUCGACUAAAUAGCAUUGUGGAGCACAUGCAGACAUUCUGAAUAGCACGGUAACUUCCGUAAGCACUCCUUGUAAAUUAACCGAAAUUUUCAGGUGACUUAAGACAACCAGAAUCAGGGAUGCUUGUUGCGAGACCUGUUUGUUCAAGAAAUUAAAAUGCCAUACUGUUAUUGGUUGAAACAAAGCAGGAAUUCCACCUGGAUUAGGUAACUGCUAUGUUUAAAAUGUUUUGCUUGAAAUCAAACAAGUGAAAGUUAUCUGGACUCAAGACUGGGAAAGAUUUACCUUGUCCAGCUACGGAAAUUUCACAUUGGACACAUGGAAAUUACAGUAAAUAGGCUGAAACUUGUAAAAAGUGCUGUAUUGGUUUCUUAGUGCAUUCGCGCUAACGUCACUUGUCUCUUCCCGCUUGAUUAACAGUUCCUGUCAGUAUAGGGCUAACCGAAAAUGACACUGAGAACAACUGAUUCGGUUGAGCGAAGCCGGGAACUUCCCCCUGGGCCAUGCCCGGGCUUCAUUUUUGGUCCAUAGACCGAGACGGAAGAACAGAGAGAGGCAGCUAUUCCUACAGCUGGCGUCUGGACGAGUUGGCCAGGAUCAUUGGAUCAUUGAAACUGCAUGAGAGCGGUCUGUCAGUUUAUCUUAUAAAGCAGACAGCCCGUUCUCACCCAGAACCCGCUGAUGACCUGACGGGGAGCGGUCCGCUCCUUUCUAAUGGAAAAGCAGUUUUCAAAUUCCAAUAAUGUUUGGCAUGAUUGAAAUCUUUUACUGGGAAUACUUCACCAUCUGCCUUAAGAUCAUUCUGUCUUGACAUUUUCCUUGAAGAUUCCUAGAAAAAUGGAUGGAUUUCCUUUUCCAAAUAAUACCCAUCAGUUGCAAUUAGUUUUGUAUAGACAAAAAUAACCGGCCAUGUCUGGCUAAGUGCAGCGGAUUGAGAUUCUCUAGUGAAAUUACUAACAUGAAUUCGCCAGUGGCCAACGCCGGUUUCGGAGGAGAAAAGAGGUUGGAGAAGAGAAAAGACAUAUCUACAUAGUAUGAAAUUGUCAAAGGCCAUAUUGUUGGUAAAAAUACUGAUCACCAUGGAGACUUCGGUAUUGUUGCCCCAGUAACUCAUCUGUGACCAACUCUGUUGAAAAUGGAUACGUCUUAAAUUAUGAAAUAAGCCGAAGUAGAACGCAGUCAAUGAUAGUUUAUUUCAUGGCAGACUUUUUAAAGCCAUAACGGACCACAGUAUUUAUUCGAUGCAGUACUAUAUCGUCAGCAGCAGUCAACAGACAUCAAAUUCAUAAUCCGUUAAGUUACUUGUUCUUGUUGAUCACUUACGGCAUUAGCUUGCUCAAUUGACUUUGGGUCGUAUCAAUCGUCCUACCAGCAAGCUCGGUAAGACAAAUAACUUUGAAGACGAACAACAAAGAAGAAAAGAAACGAAUGCAGUCGACUUUUUAAAACAUCCUGCAAAAUUUUGACAAAAUAAGGAACUUGCAGUUUAAUAGAACAUUUCUAUGGCUCUGUUUACCAACUGCCUUCCCGGGAAUUGUCGUGAUCUCAUACACAUUCAUAGGAAGAACGUCCAUUUAUAGAUGCUUCGUGGAAGUUUAUGAUGAAAAUGACACUACUCUUUCAAGUAAUGGCUCAGCGCUUGCUCCUUCAUGGCUGAAACAAACGAUUCCUUACAUAGAGAAAAGGAAAUAGCCCAAUGUUAUCUAUACAACAUAAUGUUGGCCAAUUUCAAACAGUGUGAUCUCAACCAGUCCAUCCAUGACACGUUCCUGAAAAAGUGCAGCCGUUGGGUUUAUGAUACCUGUGUAUUCCGUUCAACAAUCGUCAGUCAUUUCGACUUAACGUGCGUAAAUGAAUGGAAGCAAACUGUUGCCAGCAGCAUGUUUAUGUUGGGAAUGCUGAUCGGAGCAGUUAGGAUUGGUUACAUUGGGUAUCGGACGAAGGAAAACAUUAACAUAAGCCCGACUUUUUUUAAAUUUGGUAUUGGAAGAAACAUAAUCUGCUAUAACUAAAAUAAAACUCUGAUUAUAAAUAACAUACAAGUUUUUCCGCAAGCUAAGCGGUUUUUGAAUAAAAUGAAAUCAAAGUGGUUUAUCGCAACCACUUUGAAUUUAAACAACACA